rnacentral:lncRNA from 1 species
CUGAGAAGAAAUUAGAAAUAUUACUAAGAAGGAUAGAAAAACUUUGGAAGCAUGGUGAACCUGAUUAUCCCCUCUAGUAGACCACUUCUUAUCAGCUUUGUGACCAGGUUUCUCCAAUGAAGAAUUUGUCAUCCGGAUUUCUAAGCCAGGUAUAAAAUUUCACCUUCCUAAAAUGUUUUCCAGAGAAGUUCUACAUGGUGCUGAAGUGAUAUGAAAUUACAAAAGGACUGCUUCUAACAACACUGCUGCUGAACAGGCAGAAAGGUUCAAUGAUAAGGCCUUACAGAAGCUACUGUAAAACAUGGUCAGGACUCCUUGCUUUACAGAGGUGUGCAUUCUUUGUAGCAGGGCAGUAAAAGCUUGUUUUCAUGGUGAUAACAAGAAAGAGGUACCAGGACUCCCUCAGCAGAAUCUUUCAGAGGAAUGAAGGUAGAUAUCAUUGAAAUGAGUGAACAUAACAUGUUCUUUGUUCAUUUAAUGUCACAUUUUUCUGCUUCAGGUUUUAUCCCUUUUUAAUAUGAAAAAAAAAAAAAAAAAGUUACUUUUCUCUUGAGUUUUGAUUGUAUCUGGAUUCCAUGCAGAUAUUUUAAAUUAUAAAAUAGUAUAACACAAACCCCCAUGAAUAAAUCUAGUGAGUAUUAAUAUAAGAUUGUUUUUCCUUACCUUUCUCAAGCAGUAAUCUGAAAUUCUAUGAGGAGGGAAGAUAACAAGAGAGAGACAUGAAAUGGUGAAAUAAGAGAUUAAUUUUAUGAGUCUUUGUUCUGUUUCAACAAAUCUUUUAGGUUUCCAAUGCAACACAUUGGUAUUGAAUUCCCAGGGAUAUUAAGGAAUAGGAAACUAUUUAUCUAACAGGCCCUGGCACUGCAGAGCUCAACAGGAAAUAUUGCUUCAGUUUCUGUGGCCCUUUUUAGAAUUUGCUUCUUGCUAGUAACUUGUUUAGUACCAUGUUGUGACAAACCUUUCAGCAACAUUUCCCCAGACUCUUGAGAAGCCUCAACACUGCUGAAUGGGACCAUGCCAUUACUGCUGGACACUAAUUUUAACAAGUUGUCUAUGCAGUUCAGGGCAAGAGAGAUAAAUACCUUGGCUCUCUGCCUACUUCACUGUUAAUUUAGUGAGUCUCACAUUUUACAGCCAUAUGCAACAUACAUGAUUCUGUUCUGAGAAGAUGGCAAUGCCUGAACUCACUGGAUGGUUUGCAAAAUAAUUAGUUAAGACC